GGGGGCUAAAGACCCAACAUAAACAUAAAAUUAGCUAACCCAAAUCUUAGAGAAAGACACUCCUCUACUAUCAGCAUUCAAGAAGGGGACAAGAACGAGGAGAGGGACAUUGAACAGUGUAUUCCCAUCGACAAGUUCCGAGCAUAUUUAGAGAGAAAAUAUCUGUGAUAAAAUUCGCCUCUCAAAGCACAUGGUGGAUGACACAAUUUACCAUUCUUGAUUGAAGGUUCUUUAUUACAUGGAUUAGAGCCGAGCUAUCAUGGAAGGGGUUGGACUCAUUCUGCAGGAGCUGGGUAGCGCACGCAGAGUCGAACUCAACCUUCACCCUAUCAAUUCCCAGAUCGAUCACCAAUUGGAGGCCAUUGUAGACAGCCUAGAGCUCAGCGGUUGUUUUGGACUCAAAUGGCUGCGAAUAGGCGAGGACGCCCUCGACUGGAGGGAACAAGUGAGGGAACCCUCCUUGAUGCAACGGCUAUUCUCGAGUCUAUAAACGCUAUGGCCGCUUCUGUACGUGAUUCAGUAGCUGCUACUAACCGAGUAGCUGAACGUCUUGAUUGCCACAAUGAAACUGAAAAUAACCAUGAGCUUAGACAUGGAAAUGGAAAUGGCGACGAAGGCGAAGGUGAACUACGUAAUGAUAAUUAGCCAAUGACCGUAGCCUCUUUCUUAAAGAUCAAUUCACCGCAGUUUAAUGGAAACACUAGUGCGACGCGAGCUGACGACUGGUUUAAGGAAAUAGGACGAGCACUACGAGCCCAACAAGUCCUCGAGGCACAAGUGUAGAGUUUGCUACCUACAUGCUAAGGAACGACGCGCAACAUUGGUGGCAGGGUUGCUUCAACUAUUGGGAAGAGAAGCUGAUAACAUCACUUGGGAGGAAUUUUCAACUGAAUUCUAUAAGAAAUAUUUUUCUCAAUGUUUUUGUACCGCUAACGAACUAGAGUUGCUUCAGUUGAGGCAGGAAAACGUGACAUUCACUGAGUAUACUCGCAAGUUUGAAGAGUUAUGUCGAUUCUCAAAUGUUUGUUAAGGAGCACCAACUGCAUUCGAGAAAUGGAAGUGCAUCAAGUUCGAAGGAGGACUUAGAGAAGAACUAUUAGCUCAUGUGGGCCCGAUGGAAAUAUAGAAUUUUGUGGAAUUAGUUAACAAGAGCCAACUGAUGGAGGAAUGUGUAAAGAAGCUGGUGGCAGCGCAAACUAACCACAUGAAUCUUUCAGCAAGGGAUUUCAAUCAUAACCUCGUUGCUCAAGGAAGAAACUUCAAAGUAACUCGGCAGCCAGACUUAGGCAAACAGCCGCAGCCAACCCAACUAAAAUUGACAUGCACUGUGUGUGGAAAGAAUCAUGGAGGCAAACCCUGUUUGUUGAAAUCUGGGAUUUGCUAUAAUUGCGGGAAGCCCGGACAUGUAGCUAAAGAAUGCAUACGACGAAGGCUGAAUUUGUUUUCCCUGGGCAACAACAGCCAGGAAGGGUGUUUGUUUUGGAUGCGGAAAAUACUACCGAAAUUGAUCCCCUCACUCAAGGUAACAAAAUUUUGAGGACAAUUUUUUUUAUAGGGGUAGAAUGUAACCACCCUAUCCCACGAGGCCUAUGAUUCCUCAUUAUAUAUAUGUAUGUAUAAAGCAUAGAUAGCGAAUUAGAAUUGGAACACGUAGCGCUAAAACUUUUUUUAGUGCUUUCGAAUGGCGAGUUUUGGUAAUUAGAUAACUACCGUUAUAGUUAAUUUAUUUCUUUUAAAAUUAACUACCUCUUAAUAAUUCAUAAGUAAUGAAUUAGUGGAGGAUUACCCUAGAUUCGUUACCAACCAUUUAACCCGAUUUUUUUUUCUUCCUCCCUUUCAAAGUCACAGUUUUUUUUCUUUUUCUCCUCCCGGUUCAACCGAACUAAGUUUCUUCUAAUUAAAUUAAAACCCAAGGGAACUCUGGUUAAGUUCAUUCCCUCUUCCCCUCUCACCACCGAACGCUACUUCAGAAGAAACCAUAGUCACUGCUUCAUUCAAGGAUUGCUGUGAAUUUGUGUUGCAAGGAGAGAAAGCCAUGAAGCUUUGCCACUCUAACUCAUCUUUCUCCAUCUUCUAUUGAUAUAUAUAUAGCAGAGCUAAACCUUUUUAAUUCCUCUGAAAACCACACGAAGAGAAGAAAGGAAGCAAAAGUAGCAUUUGAUCAAGGAAGGGAAGGAGGAAGACGUCAACAGCGUACAUCACCAUCAAGGAGAAAGGAGAAGACCAUCAAAGAAGCUGCAAUCCAAAGCCGAAGAAGAAACCUUACCCCCUUCUUCUUUCUGAUUCCCUUGGAGUUUUUCUCAUUAGCAUUUUUUGAAUUAAGGUAACAAAGGACAGGCCUUGAUUUUUGAAUUCUCGAAGGAAGGUAAGGGGUUAUGUGAUUAGAUUAGAUAUAUGUGUAGCUGACAGUUGUGAUAUUAUUGUUGAUGAUGAUUCUAUAUGAUUGUGUGUUAAUUGAUACUGGAAUUUUUUAGAGGAGUCAUAAAUUUGAUGUUGCAAUAGCUUGCUACAAUUCUACUAGUGUAUCAUGAAUUUGUUAAGUAAUUGUUGCUGAGUAUAGUGCAGAGUUUGAUAUUGUGAAGGUGUAAUGACAUGGUACUGAUAGUGUAAAUUUUUGGAAUAUAUGGAAUUGAGGCUCUUGGAGCUGUAAUCCAUAUGAAACAAGAAGAGAUGACCUAAAUGAAUUAGGAUCAAUGAUGUAUAAUAGUUAGGAUUUUAGGGAAGCAAUUUAGUGUUUACAAACUUACGUACCUAUGCUGCAGAAAUUCUGCAGAAUUUUGGACAGCAAAUUAAAAUAAAAACUGGGAGCAAUCUAGACGUGAUUUUCAAUCCAAAUUAUUUUUCUAUCAAAUUUCAAGAAGUCAAGAUUACUCCAUAAGAAUUUCAGAGAAUUUGGCCAAGUGGUUUGGAAGAUAUGAAUUUUCGAAAUUUAGUGAUGGCUGUAGAAUUUUCUGAUUUUCUGGUUCUGUAGUACCAACUUUCAGUUGCUAUAACUUUUUAUUUAUUUGAAAUUUUGAGUUACUCUCAAGAGAAUUUUAGAGAUAUAUCAAUCUAUUUUAAGUGAGUAUAAAUUUUAUGUCUAUAUCUAUUUUUUAGACUUAAUUAAGUCACUUGGAAGCUGGAUUGCUUGCUGGAAAUUCUGAACUGAUUUAUGAAAACAGGCACCACUUCCAAUUGACAAUUAAAUAAUCAAAUGAAGUGAUAUGAACUUGAAACUUGUGGAUUCUAAAACUUAGAGUUGUUGAGUAUAAUCUCACCAAAAUUUAGAAGCAACAGAUUAGAAUUGAAAUUAUUAUGGAUUUUAUAAAAACACUGCUGUUUGCUGUUUUCUGAAUCCUUAUAAGUGCAGUAGUAGAAUUUUAAAACUUUGUAUAAAAUUCAAUUCUAAUCCAAAUGCAGUAAAAUCUAAUUCAAAUUAAAGAUUAGAAUCUCUAGAAUGAUCUUAACAAGAGAGAUAGUCCGUGCAUAAGAUUUCACAACAUAAAAACCACAUAACAAGAUAGCAAGGUACUGUUCCAAAAAUCUAGAACAACUGUCUUGAUUUUUCUCCAAUAUCUAGCGUUAGAUUGCCCAGAAAGAUAUGAUUCUUAAUUCUUUAGAAAUUUGAGUUCAAUACAAACGCGUGGGCAUAAAGUUUGCGCGAAUCUAAGUCUGUUUGUUAUAUUAAUUAUUAAAUAGAAAAUUGAUCGCCAAGAAGGUAUUAGACUAAACAAGUUCGAAAAAUGAAUAAGAAUGUAAGUUGUCCCUAGGAAGGUUUAAAGUUAAAUAGUGAUGUGGAGGUACGUAUGAUAAAACGGUGAUGCAGAGGUACGCGUAAAUAAAUGGUGAUGUGGAGGCAUAAAGAAAAGAAAAGAAAAUGAGGAACAAUGAAUGAAACAAAAGUUGAGAAUUGUAUAUUGAAUGGGCCUUGUGCCAAAUUGCUAAUGCGAAAGUGCUCACCUGACUGAUAGCCUGAGAUUGCUAAUGCGGGAAUGUUCGCCUAAUUGAUAGCCUGUCUCUUACCGUGAUGCCAAGAUAUCCUAAUUGACAUGGGUUCGUCUAUGAUGAUAAUUGUGCCUAACUGAUACGGUAAAAGAGACCAUAUUUGGGGUUCUUCUCGAGUAACGUCGGGUUACGGGUAGACAACUGAUGCAUGAGCUCAUGGCUUGCGCUAGGAACAGAUGGGAUCGACAGAGGAGUCCGUUAAGUUUCGAGUUUCGGUGCAUCGCCCACGUUUCAAUCCCGGCAUGCCGUACAUGUUCACUCUAGCCGAAGACCAUUGCGAAGAUUGACCUAGCUGACUUUUUACUCCUUUUGACGAUCAGUAGUAUUACUUUUCCCUCACUUUUCUAGUACUUUUAGAGGGGUAGGACCUCUUAGUAGUUGGUUCCAGUUUAGAAAACUCGUGCGUGGGUUGGGACUAACUUUCUCUUUUGUAUUUAUAUAUAUAACUUGGUAUUGUUCUCAGCUUUUGAUAGAUGACAUGUAUCUCUAAGCUUAACUCCUGUGUAUAUUUGCAUAUAUGUAUAUAUGUUAUUUUCUGU